AACACAUAUUUUUCGUCUCCAUAUCUUUCGUCUCAAAUGGAGAAAACAGUCAUCUGGAGUUUGCUUUUAAUAGUUUGGAUUCAUGGAGUCUUUAGUGAGAUUAAAAUGGACCAGACUCCAUCUGAGGGGAAGAGACCUGGAGAGACAGUGAAGAUGUCUUGUGUCAUCUCUGGUUUUGACAUGACCAGACACUUCAUUCACUGGAUCAGACAGAAACCAGGGAGAGCUCUGGAGUGGGUUGGGAGGAUGAAUGCUGGUAGAAACUCAGCAGACUAUGGCAGUUCCUUCCAAAGUCGUUUCAUCAUGACUGAAAAUGUCCCUAGCAGCACCCAGUACCUGCAGAUCAGCAGCCUGACAGCAGAAGAUUCUGCUGUUUACUUCUGUGCUCGAAGAGACACAGUGACUGAAAACAGAGGAACAGCUGCACAAAAACAUCCACAGACAAAAACCUUUAAUGUGGUGAUGUUUGCAUUGUCUAACAGUAAAUGCUAA